rnacentral:rRNA from 1 species
UACGUAGGGUGCAAGCGUUAAUCGGAAUUACUGGGCGUAAAGCGUGCGCAGGCGGUGAUGUAAGACAGGUGUGAAAUCCCCGGGCUUAACCUGGGAACUGCAUUUGUGACUGCAUCGCUGGAGUGCGGCAGAGGGGGAUGGAAUUCCGCGUGUAGCAGUGAAAUGCGUAGAUAUGCGGAGGAACACCGAUGGCGAAGGCAAUCCCCUGGGCCUGCACUGACGCUCAGGCACGAAAGCGUGGGGAGCAAAAGGG